rnacentral:rRNA from 1 species
GCCUACGGGUGGCAGCAGUGGGGAAUAUUGGACAAUGGGCGCAAGCCUGAUCCAGCCAUGCCGCGUGAGUGAUGACGGCCCUAGGGUUGUAAAGCUCUUUCGGCGGGGACGAUAAUGACGGUACCCGCAGAAGAAGCCCCGGCUAACUUCGUGCCAGCAGCCGCGGUAAUACGAAGGGGGCAAGCGUUGUUCGGAAUCACUGGGCGUAAAGGGCGCGUAGGCGGACAUUUAAGUCAGGGGUGAAAUCCCGGGGCUCAACCCCGGAACUGCCCUUGAUACUGGGUGUCUUGAGACCGGAAGAGGCAAGUGGAACUGCGAGUGUAGAGGUGAAAUUCGUAGAUAUUCGCAAGAACACCAGUGGCGAAGGCGGCUUGCUGGUCCGGAUCUGACGCUGAGGCGCGAAAGCGUGGGGAGCAAACAGGAUUAGAUACCCCAGUAGUCCUG